rnacentral:rRNA from 1 species
AACGAACGCUGGCGGCAUGCCUAACACAUGCAAGUCGAACGAGACCUUCGGGUCUAGUGGCGCACGGGUGCGUAACGCGUGGGAACCUGCCCUUAGGUUCGGAAUAACUCCCCGAAAGGGGUGCUAAUACCGGCUAAUGUCUUCGGACCAAAGAUUUAUCGCCUUUGGAUGGGCCCGCGUUGGAUUAGCUAGUUGGUAGGGUAAAAGCCUACCAAGGCGACGAUCCAUAGCUGGUCUGAGAGGAUGAUCAGCCACACUGGGACUGAGACACGGCCCAGACUCCUACGGGAGGCAGCAGUGGGGAAUAUUGGACAAUGGGCGAAAGCCUGAUCCAGCAAUGCCGCGUGAGUGAUGAAGGCCUUAGGGUUGUAAAGCUCUUUUACCCGGGAUGAUAAUGACAUUACCGGGAGAAUAAGCUCCGGCUAACUCCGUG